UACGUAGGUGGCAAGCGUUGUCCGGAAUCAUUGGGCGUAAAGAGCGUGUAGGCGGCUCGGUAAGUCCGCUGUAAAAGUCAAAGGCUCAACCUUUGAAUGUCAGUGGAUACUGCCGGGCUAGAGUCCGGAAGAGGCGAGUGGAACUCCUGGUGUAGCGGUGGAAUGCGCAGAUAUCAGGAAGAACACCAACGGCGAAGGCAGCUCGCUGGGACGGUACUGACGCUGAGACGCGAAAGCGUGGGGAGCGAACAGG
rnacentral:rRNA from 1 species